rnacentral:lncRNA from 1 species
AUUUUGAACAACCCUGCAUAUGUACAGCCACAUCUGUUUGGCAUUUACAUGUCCACAUUGGUAGAUAGGAUCAUAGCAAUCAGAAUAACAUUGAUCAGAUCCAAAGUAAUGUAAUGUGUGAUUAAGACACAAAGCAGUAAUGAUAAUUUCGUAAGCAGUGGAGCCAAUAAAGUUCUAGACCAACUAUAGGUUGUUUAUAAACAUAGAGGACUCUUAACGGACCAGGCUCUUGAGGACCUUACAAAGUACCUGAGACGGCAGAGGGAAGGAGGUGACGAGGUUGGCGCAGUAGUCGCCUCCUCUAGAGACGACAACAACGUCGAGACGAUGCCGAAGAGCUCAGAGCCCUACCAGCACGCUUCCUCCAGAGACGACGACGACAUCAAGGCAAUGCCGGAGAGCUCAGAUCUGUACCAGGGGC